CGUACACUCCUGCGGGAGGCAGCAGUGGGGAAUUUUAGACAAUGGGCGAAAGCCUGAUCCAGCCAUGCCGCGUGCAGGAUGAAGGCCUUCGGGUUGUAAACUGCUUUUGUACGGAACGAAACGGCCUUUUCUAAUAAAGAGGGCUAAUGACGGUACCGUAAGAAUAAGCACCGGCUAACUACGUGCCAGCAGCCGCGGUAAUACGUAGGGUGCAAGCGUUAAUCGGAAUUACUGGGCGUAAAGCGUGCGCAGGCGGUUAUGUAAGACAGUUGUGAAAUCCCCGGGCUCAACCUGGGAACUGCAUCUGUGACUGCAUAGCUAGAGUACGGUAGAGGGGGAUGGAAUUCCGCGUGUAGCAGUGAAAUGCGUAGAUAUGCGGAGGAACACCGAUGGCGAAGGCAAUCCCCUGGACCUGUACUGACGCUCAUGCACGAAAGCGUGGGGAGCAAACAGGAUUAGAAACCGGGUAGUCCCAUG
rnacentral:rRNA from 1 species